rnacentral:rRNA from 1 species
AGUGAACGCUGGCGGUAGGCCUAACACAUGCAAGUCGAACGGCAGCACAGUAAGAGCUUGCUCUUACGGGUGGCGAGUGGCGGACGGGUGAGGAAUACAUCGGAAUCUACUUUUUCGUGGGGGAUAACGUAGGGAAACUUACGCUAAUACCGCAUACGACCUACGGGUGAAAGCAGGGGAUCUUCGGACCUUGCGCGAUUGAAUGAGCCGAUGUCGGAUUAGCUAGUUGGCGGGGUAAAGGCCCACCAAGGCGACGAUCCGUAGCUGGUCUGAGAGGAUGAUCACCGCCACAGGAACUGAGACACGGUCCAGACUCCUACGGGAGGCAGAAGAGGGGAAUAUUGGACAAUGGGCGCAAGCCUGAUCCAGCCAUACCGCGUGGGUGAAGAAGGCCUUCGGGUUGUAAAGCCCUUUUGUUGGGAAAGAAAAGCAGCAGGUUAAUACCCCGCUGUUCUGACGGUACCCAAAGAAUAAGCACCGGCUAACUUCGUG